rnacentral:rRNA from 1 species
GCAGUCGGGCGAGAAGGGGCUUCGGCCCUGAGUACAGCGGCAGACGGGUGAGUAACGCGUGGGCAACCUACCUCGAGGUCUGGGAUAACUUGGGGAAACCCGAGCUAAUACCGGAUGAGCCCACGAGGUCUUUGGACCUCGCGGGAAAAGAUGGCCUCUGCUUGCAAGCUAUCACCACGAGAUGGGCCCGCGUCCCAUUAGCUAGUUGGCGAGGUAACGGCUCACCAAGGCGACGAUGGGUAGCUGGUCUGAGAGGACGAUCAGCCACACUGGGACUGAGACACGGCCCAGACUCCUACGGGAGGCAGCAGUCGGGAAUCUUGGGCAAUGGGCGCAAGCCUGACCCAGCGACGCCGCGUGAGGGAUGAAGGCCUUCGGGUCGUAAACCUCUGUCAGGAGGGAAGAACGGCGGCCAGGUGAAUAAUCUGGCUGUCUGACGGUACCUCCGAAGGAAGCGCCGGCUAACUCCGUGCCAGCAGCCGCGGUAAUACGGAGGGCGCAAGCGUUGUUCGGAAUCACUGGGCGUAAAGCGCGUGUAUGCGGCCGGGCAAGUCGGAUGUGAAAUCCCGAGGCUCAACCUCGGAUCUGCACUCGAAACUGCUCGGCUCGAGUCUCGGAGAGGGUGGCGGAAUUCCCGGUGUAGGGGUGAAAUCCGUAGAUAUCGGGAGGAACACCAGUGGCGAAAGCGGCCACCUGGACGAUGACUGACGCUGAAACGCUAAAGCGUGCGGAGCAAACACGAUUAGAUACCCUGGUUAGUCCACGCCGUACACGGUGAGUGCUAGACGUCGCGGGUAUUGACCCCCGCGGUGUCGCAGCUAACGCGUUA